GCGGCAGUAGAUUAGUGCUAGAGCCCCCGCCUCGCAUGCGGGGAGACCCGGGUUCGAUUCCCGGUUGCAUCC
rfam:Toxocara canis scaffold308, whole genome shotgun sequence.